AUUGAACGCUGGCGGUAUGCUUAACACAUGCAAGUCGAACGGUAGCAGGCCUUCGGGCGCUGACGAGUGGCGGACGGGUGAGUAACGCGUAGGAAUCUGCCUCAUAGUGGGGGACAACGUGGGGAAACUCACGCUAAUACCGCAUACGCCCUACGGGGGAAAGCGGGGGCUCUUCGGACCUCGCGCUAUGAGAUGAGCCUGCGUUGGAUUAGCUAGUUGGUAGGGUAAAAGCCAACCAAGGAGACGAUCUAUAGCUGGGCUGGGAGGUCGAUCAGCCACACUGGGACUGAGACACGGCCCAGACUCCUACGGGAGGCAGCAGUGGGGAAUAUUGGACAAUGGGCGCAAGCCUGAUCCAGCAAUACCGCGUGUGUGAAGAAGGCCCUAGGGUUGUAAAGCACUUUCAAUUGGGAGGAAAACCUGCCGGUCGAUACCCGGCAGCUUGACAUUACCUUUAGAAGAAGCACCGGCUAACUCCGUGCCAGCCGCCGCCGUAACAC
rnacentral:rRNA from 1 species